GACGAACGCUGGCGGCGUGCUUAACACAUGCAAGUCGAACGGAAAGGCGCUGCUUUUGUGGGGUUCUCGAGUGGCGAACGGGUGAGUAACACGUGAGUAACCUGCCCUUGACUUUGGGGUAACAUCAGGGGACUGGGGCUAAUACCGGGUAGGAGCUCCUGCUGCAUGUUGUGGGUUGGAGAGUUUCGGCGGUGCGGUCUGUACUCGAGGCUUAUGAGCUUGUUGGGGUGGUAGGGGCGUACAAAGGCUUCGACGGGUAGGCGGCCUGGGAGGGUUACCGGGCCCAGUGGGCCUACGAUAGGGCCCAGACGGCUACGGGCGGCAGAAGUGGGGAACAUUGCACAAUAGGCGGAAGCCUGAUGCAACAACGUCGGGUUCGGAAUGACGGCCUUCGGGGUGUAAACCGCUUUCGCCGGAGACGAAGCGUGAGUGACGGUAAUGGGUAAGGAAGCACCGGCUAACUACGUG
rnacentral:rRNA from 1 species